rnacentral:rRNA from 1 species
UACGUAGGGUGCGAGCGUUGUCCGGAUUUAUUGGGCGUAAAGAGCUCGUAGGCGGCUUGUCGCGUCGUUCGUGAAAACCUGCAGCUCAACUGCAGGCUUGCGGUCGAUACGGGCAGGCUAGAGUUCGGUAGGGGAGACUGGAAUUCCUGGUGUAGCGGUGAAAUGCGCAGAUAUCAGGAGGAACACCAGUGGCGAAGGCGAGUCCCUGGACACUUCCUGACACUGAGGCACGAAAGCUAGGGGAGCAAACAGG